rnacentral:rRNA from 1 species
GUGUGCGAGUCAUUGGGUAUAUUGUUGAAACCUAAGGGCGUAAUUAAAAUAACUAUUUUAUGGGAUUACAAGUGAAUUAAUUUUCAUUUCUUCAUCCCGGGGCGUUCUAUACGAACAUGGUUUAAGCAAUUGAACCCUCUGUUCAAGAGCGUACCUUGAGCAUACAUGCUGUGACCCGAAAGAUGGUGAACUAUACCUGAUCAGAUCGAAGCCAGGAGAAAUUCUGGUGGAGGAUCGAAACAGUUCUGACGUGCAAAUCGAUUGUCAGAAUUGGGUAUAGGGGCGAAAGACCAAUCGAACCAUCUAGUAGCUGGUUCCCUCCGAAGUUUCCCUCAGGAUAGCUGGCGCAAAGAAUUAUAUUAUAUAUAAUCUUAUCUGGUAAAGCGAAUGAUUAGAGGCCUUGGGGCCGAAACGACCUCAACCUAUUCUCAAACUUUAAAUGGGUAAGAACCUCAUCUUUCUUGAUCUGAAGAUAUUGGGGUUUAGAUAUAUUGUGCCCAGUGGGCCACUUUUGGUAAGCAGAACUGGCGCUGUGGGAUGAACCAAACAUGAUGUUACGGCGCCUAAAUUAAUGACUCAUAUUGAUACCAUGAAAGGCGUUGGUUGCUUAAAACAGCAGGACGGUGGACAUGGAAGUCGUAAUCCGCUAAGGAGUGUGUAACAACUCACCUGCCGAAGCAACUAGCCCUUAAAAUGGAUGGCGCUCAAGUCAUAUGCCUAUACAUCAUCGCUAGAAUAAAAAUUGUUGACUUUCGGGUCAUCAUUAUGAAAUUCUAGUGAGUAGGAGGGUACAAUGGUGUGCGCAGAAGUGUUUGGCGUGAGCCUGCAUGAAGCCGCCAUUGGCACAGAUCUUGGUGGUAGUAGCAAAUAAUCGAAUGAGAUCUUGGAGGACUGAAGUGGAGAAGGGUUUCGUGUGAACAGUGGUUGAUCACGAGUUAGUCGGUCCUAAGCUUUAUGCGAAAGCUGUUUAAUUUAUGUUACACACAAUACAAUUUAACAAAAUUUAUUUUAUGUUGUACAUAAUUCAAUAAAAGCGAAAGGGAAUACGGUUCCAAUUCCGUAACCUGUUGAGUAUACGUUUGUUUAUUAAAAAUGGGUCUUAUUACACUCAUCCUGGCAACAGGAACGACCA